rnacentral:rRNA from 1 species
GACGAACGCUGGCGGCGUGCUUAACACAUGCAAGUCGAACGAUGAAGCUGGAGCUUGCUCCGGUGGAUUAGUGGCGAACGGGUGAGUAACACGUGAGCAAUCUGCCCUUGACUCUGGGAUAACUGCGGGAAACUGUAGCUAAUACCGGAUACUUUCACUGGAAGGCAUCUUCUGGUGAAGAAAGAAUUUCGGUCAAGGAUGAGCUCGCGGCCGAUCAGCUUGUUGGUGAGGUAACGGCUCACCAAGGCGACGACGGGUAGCCGGCCUGAGAGGGUGACCGGCCACACUGGGACUGAGACACGGCCCAGACUCCUACGGGAGGCAGCAGUGGGGAACAUUGCACAAUGGGCGCAAGCCUGAUGCAGCAACGCCGCGUGAGGGAUGAAGGCCUUCGGGUUGUAAACCUCUUUUAGCAGGGAAGAAGCGAAAGUGACGGUACCUGCAGAAAAAGCACCGGCUAACUACGUGCCAGCCGCCGCAGUAA